AGCUAAAGAUAUGGAUACCCCAGGCUGUGAAGAACUGUUAGGAGGUGUGGCAAUGCUAGGACCUUAUGAGCUAAGACCUGGAUAGAUGAACAAAGUCAAAGAAGUAUCCUAGCCUUUGGAAGAAGAAAUAUGUUGCUGCCUUAUCUCUCCCGAAUGAGCACAAACUAUGAAAAUACAAAACUCUGAAUAAGAAUUGGAAACUUACGAUCAUUGCUGGAAACAUUCUCCACUGUAUAAGAUGUGUGCAGCUGAACACGUCGAGGAAACAUAAGUGCUUGCAUAACUACUUAUCCUGUUGGAAGAUUUUUGUGACCAUUGCCUGGACUCUCAAAGAUGUUACACAGAGUAUGCAUAUGGGGAAAAUACUAGCAAGCUAGUGAGGCAGAGUCUGAACAUUCCUCCAGUACCCAAUGGAGUCUAGAACCUUCCUCUGCUGACCAUGGGUGAACUAGAUAUUUCUGUCCUACAAAGUAUGACUGGGGACCUCUACCUUGGGAACCAAGACAUUCAGGAUUUCUCUUCUGUUGAAGGUGGUCUAAGAAUUUCCCAUUCUGAGAAACAGUUAUUAGAACUCCUGUGUUAGUCAAAUACUCCACACUGUUGUCUAGAGAACUGUGCCUUGGUCCUUCCAUUCCCCAACAAUGUGGCCUCGGAUCUUGCCCACCUCUGCAAGAGGGAAUGUUAACCGCUGUC
ensembl:processed_transcript